rnacentral:rRNA from 1 species
AGAUUGAACGCUGGCGGCAGGCCUAACACAUGCAAGUCGAGCGGUAGAGAGGUGCUUGCAUCUCUUGAGAGCGGCGGACGGGUGAGUAAUGCCUAGGAAUCUGCCUAGUGGUGGGGGAUAACGUUCGGAAACGGACGCUAAUACCGCAUACGUCCUACGGGAGAAAGCGGGGGACCUUCGGGCCUCGCGCCAUUAGAUGAGCCUAGGUCGGAUUAGCUAGUUGGUGAGGUAAUGGCUCGAU